GAGCGAACGCGGGCGGCGUACUUAACACAUGCAAGUCGAACGGGGAUCAUUGGUGUAGCAAUACAUUAGUGGUCCUAGUGGCGCACGGGUGAGUAACACGUGGGUAACCUGCCCUUGAGUUCGGGAUACCCCCUCGAAAGGGGGGCUAAUACCGGAUACGUUCCUCGGAUCGACAGGUCUGGGGAGGAAAGGUGGCCCAAGCUGCCGCUCUUGGAGGGGCUCGCGGCCUAUCAGCUAGUUGGCGGGGUAACGGCCCACCAAGGCUAUGACGGGUAGCUGGUCUGAGAGGACGACCAGUCACACGGGGACUGAGACACGGCCCCGACUCCUACGGGAGGCAGCAGUGGGGAAUUUUCCGCAAUGGGCGAAAGCCUGACGGAGUGACGCCGCGUGUGGGACGAAGGCCUUCGGGUCGUAAACCACUGUCAGUGGGAAAGAAGGGUGUCGGCGCUAAUACCGCCGGCACUUGACGGUACCUGCAGAGGAAGCCCCGGCCAACUCUGUGCCAGCAGCCGCGGUAAGACAGAGGGGGCAAGCGUUGCUCGGAAUUACUGGGCGUAAAGGGCGCGUAGGCGGGAUGGCAAGUCGGUCGUGAAAUCCUUCGGCUCAACCGAAGAACGUCGAUCGAUACUGCUGUUCUUGAGGGUUGCAGAGGAGACUGGAAUUCCCGGUGUAGCGGUGAAAUGUGUAGAGAUCGGGAGGAACACCGGUGGCGAAGGCGGGUCUCUGGGCAAUUCCUGACGCUGAGGCGCGAAAGCGUGGGGAGCAAACGGGAUUAGAUACCCCGGUAGUCCACGCUGUAAACGAUGACGACUAGGUGUGGGGGGGUUCAGUCCCUUCCGUGCCGCAGCUAACGCAUUAAGUCGUCCGCCUGGGGAGUACGGCCGCCAAGGUUGAA
rnacentral:rRNA from 1 species